GACGAACGCUGGCGGCGUGCUUAACACAUGCAAGUCGAGCGAGAAUUACUCCUCGGGAGUGAUUCUAGCGGCGGACGGGUGAGUAACACGUGGGUAACCUGCCUCAUAGAGGGGAAUAGCCUUCCGAAAGGAAGAUUAAUACCGCAUAAGAUUGUAGUAUCGCAUGAUACAGCAAUUAAAGGAGUAAUCCGCUAUGAGAUGGACCCGCGUCGCAUUAGCUAGUUGGUGAGGUAACGGCUCACCAAGGCGACGAUGCGUAGCCGACCUGAGAGGGUGAUCGGCCACAUUGGGACUGAGACACGGCCCAGACUCCUACGGGAGGCAGCAGUGGGGAAUAUUGCACAAUGGGGGAAACCCUGAUGCAGCAACGCCGCGUGAGUGAUGACGGUCUUCGGAUUGUAAAACUCUGUCUUCAGGGACGAUAAUGACGGUACCUGAGGAGGAAGCCACGGCUAACUACGUGCCAGCCGCCGCAGUAAUAC
rnacentral:rRNA from 1 species